rnacentral:lncRNA from 13 species
CUGGGAUUCAAACUCUGGUUACUAGCCUGGUCCAGGAUCUAGUGGUACUCUUGCUCCAUUGCUGUCAAGCCAAACAACCUUGAGGCUACAGCCAUGUUACAGCUCAUCUGACAGUGUACAAGUCAUUUACAAUACAAGUUUGCAUCAACAUGUCAUCAGUAAUAUCAACUUACCAUGAUCUAGCUGUAAGGCAAAAGAAAGAUCCUCUUCCAAAUUGGGCUGAAAGUGCAUAGUUACCAACGUACCUUCAGCCACCUAGGGAAAUUAAAUUGCCACCGAAUGCCACCGAAACGCCACCGAAACAGGCUAUUUAUGCAGACAGGUGUUUGACGUCACAUAUGGUGUUUAUGAUGUAAAAACUGUCCCCACUGGCUGUCAACUGUCCCCAUGGUAACAUUGUGUGAGUUCACUUCUGCUCAGGAGACAAGUUUUGCAAACAUGCAGUCAGAAUUCUAGUAUUAUUACAAAUCGAUGGGUUCAUGAGUGCAUUGUGAUGUCACACUGAUUCAUGUGCUAAUUUGCUUGUGAGUGUUCCAUUUCUUACCAGUUCCUCUGAGGUUGGUUAAAUAAAAAGGCAUGAACAAAGACAGAAGAAAAUACAAGACAGACAAAUGAGAUGUCGAAAACUUUAUUCACGCUUUCAGAAAGGGUAACCACGCAAUUAAACUAGGUAGGACAAAUCGUGAUCACCCAUUUUGAAUGUAUCAUGAUGAAAAGCAAAUAAUAAAAACAUCAACUACAUUAAAAAAUUGCUUGUAUUUACAUUGUCAAAUACCGUUAAUCAAAAUAAAUGUCAGUAGUACUGCAAGUCUUCACUCAAUCCUAACAUUCAUUCAAAAGCUGAUCCACUCUUCCAUACAAGAUUAAUUGAUUAGGAACAAACGACUGUACACAUGUUACAAGUUGUGCUCUACGAUAACCCAGGAAACUGCUAAUUAGUUAACGGCAAACUACUAAGUAUGAUAAUUCAUAAAGAAAUUAAAGGUAUAUUUCUAUGACAGAGGGUAGUUUCUAUUUGAGUUGUACAUUUCAAAAAGGUUUUCCGCAAUGUGGGUAGGAAUCAUAUUACAAACGUGGUAUUAAAUCUAGGUAGUUCU